CCACACCCCACUCCCCACACACACCCCCCCCCCCACGGCUCCCACAGCGAGAGAAAGAGAGACAGAAGAGGUGACUGAAGGAAUGAGAGAAGAUAGCAGAGGGGUAGAGUGGAGGAUACAGCCUUUUUUUCGUUGGGCAGUGCAAUAAGACUCAGUGAACAGUACAGCGAUGAGCCCAGGACUUUUGUACACUGCUGCGCUGUGGGGCACUGUGAAUGUUAUACAGAAAAGAAACGUGAAUGAGACAUGAACGAGACAUAAACGAGACGAGCUAGAGCGCAGGUAAGAGGAGGCACUUACACCCUCUUCAGGUACCAGAUGAGUUGAUCCGUACUGGGCAGUAUCUACAGAAGAGGUAGAGUGGGUCAUUGUCAUUGGUCACUUUUUUUUUUUAAAUGACUCAGCCCUUUGGAAGACAGAUUUUCCGUAGGGUGUCCUUGAAUAGAAGAUUGAGAAAAGAGAAUAGCAAUAUCCAGUAAACAUUUGAGCCCACUGAUUCCAUUAGGACAGAGGAGAAUGUCAAAUAAUCCUCCAGUCCUUUUUUUCUCUCAAGAGUGCAGGGUAAACACAGAACUCUAAGGGUUGGCCAUUUCUGAGGAAACGCCUGAUGCUAUUCUCCAGAAGUGUGCGAAAUGGAAACUAUAGCCCCACAGUUACUUUGAUUGGUUUCAUAUUUGACUUACUCGUGACUCUUUGUCGUUCCGUUGUUCAGUAUAAUUUUGUCCAAUUUAGUCGUAUUAAGUGUGUGUGUGUGUGUUGCUUUGCUGCUUGAGCAGAUGUGGUGAAGAUUGCUCUAACAUAUGCUCCAUUGAGAAGGACAGUCUGGUAUUGUUAUAUUGGGAUCCAGUGUUGCCCAACCUCCUCCCUCUCCCACUACCUUUCUGUCCACAUAUUCUGUAUGUACAUACUAACCCCCCCCCCACGCAACACACACACACACACACACACACACACACACACACACACACACACACACUGAAGGGCAGGCUGUGUCUCCAGAGGACGCGGCUCUCCCUCUCUCCCUCUCCCUUGCUCUCUCUUUCUCUCCCUCUCUCCUUCUCCCUUGCUCUCUCUGUCUCACUAACUCUUCUAUUCUCCUUUUCCUGUACCUCACUCACACAUGUUCUCUGUUUUUUCUCUCGGUCUUCCUCUGUUUCUCUAUCCUUCUUUCUCUCUUUUUUACUUCUCUCUCUCUCUAUUGUCCUCUGUGUCUCUCUGUUCCUCCAUCUCUCUCUUCCCCUCUCUCUUUCUCUCUCUUCCCCUCUCUCUCUCUCUCUCUUCCCUGCCUCCCUUCUCUCCCUCUCCUCCACAGCAGCCCAGUAACACUGGAUCCCCCCUGGCUCAGUAAUCUUAGAGGGGCGAGCGUAAUUGAGUCCAUGCACCUGUAGUGUGUUGGCUGGCGCAGCCAGGUAGCAUAACCUGACAGCGUCAAAAAGCCUCUAGCUAACGCCCCGGAUGAGUGUCCAGGACAAGCCACUUCGCAGGUGAUACUUUGACAGGAGCAGGUACUGCCAGUGAUUGUGUGGCCAGUUUUGCUGAUAUGCAAGGCUGAGUCCACAGCAGCAUAGUCCAGAGUGGAAUUAAAUCAUUUUUCCGGAGCGAGGAGUCAGUACUUCUUUGUUCGGCUUCAGUUCUAGUUCGAGUUCUAGUCUUGUCAAAAUAGAUGAACAUAUAUUAUAAUUUCUCGGUCAAGUUCAAGCAAUAGUGAUUUUAAGCAGCGAUGCCCUUUACUAUAAAAGCAAAUGAAUGUGUAUCACUGAUAUUUAUCUCUGAAGAACAAUGUCAUUAGAGUGAAACGUCUUUGGGUGCUUUUACUGAUCUAUCUGAGAGCUUGCUCUUAGCCCAGUUCUUAGAGCACCUAAAUAUUGUGUGCUAUUCAGGAAACAGUGGUGUGUUUUUCUCUUCUAAAAAAAAACAGGCCUACAUACAUCUGAGUUUAUCUAUUAACAGUAAGCCCUGCGUCUCUCUGUGGCUUUAUGGUCUAUUGACAAGGUCACAGGGGCGUGUUAGCAGUUGUGUUUGUGUGUUUAGAGCAUGCAUGUGUAUAUUUAAAAAGGGAUGCCUAUGUGAAUGUAAAGAGUUUUCUCCAUGGCCUAGGACAAUGUCUUUAUGAGUGGAAUUGGAGGUGGGCUUUGUUUUGUUUUGUGUUUUUAUUUUUUGUUUUGUUUCUCUUAUUAUGAAAUUAUGAAAAACUAUGUCAGUUAUUCCAAGUCUUUUUGCCACACACUUCUGCCCUUCAGUCCUCUCAGACAGUGAGUUCUUUUUCCUUUUUUUGUUUCACAAGAAGUGCUAAGCGAUGAGAGAGGAACAGGAUGGUGUCAUUAGAAACACUGCCAAUGGAACUUGGCAAAAAAUGGCUUUCUCCUACCCUCCACCUCCACAGCGGAUUUUUUUUUUGUGCUUUUUUUUUGCUUUUUGUCCAUCCAUCUCUUCAGCUUUUCAGUUCCUGUCUUUUGUCUCCUGUGCUUCUCGGCCUUGAUGAUGAUGAAAUGGAUGUAAAUUGCCAAAGUCCCACACACUUUCCUGUGUACCCAAUCUGUUGUCACGUCGUCUCUCAGAAAGGGGGAGAGAGAGAGAGAGAGAGAGAGAGAGAGAAAAGAGAGAGAAAGAGAGAUGGGUUGCAGGAGUGCUUGAAUACAUAAAAACUCCCAGGGAAGGUGACGAGUGCCUGCCCAGCUGUUUCUGUACAUUAACUGUGUGUGUGUGUGUGUGUGUGUGUGUGUGUGUGUGCGCGCGCAUGUGUGUGUGUAUCUGAGUGUCAGAGAUGGAUUGUGUAAUUGUGCUGUGUUUGUAUAAUACAUGUGUGAAUGUGUGUUUACCUCUGAAGUGCUACUUAGCAGACAGUGAAACUUUUAUCUUUAAAAAAAAUGCAAACCAAAGCUUUGCUUAAACCCUUAGACCAGGCAUUCCAAGACCCACGAUGAUAGCAGUUGUGAAUAUUUUAACUAUCCUACGUCCGGGACUAACCAGCCCCCUAAGUAGGGCACCACCCUAACCAGCCCCCUAAGUAGGGCACAACCCUGAUGCUGCCUUCCUGUGACCUCAUGGUUCUCACCUUCACGACCCUCACCCGACACUUAACACAUCCGCGCCAGAUCUGCUUACAGUACCUGUAAAGGGGCCCAGCCCUAAAUAAUCCAUGGUGAGGGUUUGUGUGACAUCACAGUAUUAGCUUUCCGUUUUCCUGUUUUGCGCUGGUAAAGGGGUAAACCCGUGCCAGCUCGAGGGUGAUCAGAACGACUACUAUCACAUGGGUCAGCCUGACUCACUAGAGAUGCUGUUGGUUAGACGGCAGGUCGUGGUGGUGGUGCAGGUCCCCAGAGCUGCACUUUAAAAAAUUAAGAAAUAAUAUUAAUAUGAAUAAUAAUACAGGAUCAAGGUUGAAUUUCCAAUGGCUUUUUUUCCCUUCAGUAUAUACUGUAGGGAUCACUAUAUAUAUAGGGACUUCACUAUAUAGGGAUAUUUUUUCAAGCUGGAGUUUUCAGUCCAGUGGUUGUUGUUUUAUUAUUAUUUUUAUUAGAGCACUACGUAGGAAACAGGAAACCAUUGGACACAUGGUCAGAUCUUUGAGUGGCAUUCUGGACGAGUGAGCUUGGCUUUUACAGUAUUAGUCAACAUUCAGAAAGGUGCUAUGGUACUCAGUGGUGUAGUAGUGGUUUUUACUCUCUGAUAACUAACCUAUGUGUCUUAACUAGAUCCUUGGUGUGGAAAUGCCAUUCUCACAAUUUAUUUGUGUUUGUUUUGUCUGUCUGCUUUUUUUUCCUCUUGUAAACUUUUACAAAGAUAUGUUAUUAUGACUCUCUAUUGUUAUUAUCUGUGUACAAAAAAAAACAACACAAAAAAUAACAAAUAAAAAAUGAUAUUUAUUGAAAAAGGAAGAUUGUGUUUUAAAACAAACUUUAAAAAGCUGUCUUUUGCUUUUAUUUUGAAAAGCCCGUUUGUAUUCUAUUUGAUUAACAACUGUUGACAGGUGAGCAAACUAAAUAAAGCUAUCUUGUACUGAC